CCUCCAUCGACCACCAUGAAAUACAAGAGCUUCCUCAUCCCUCGAUGUAGCUCCAAUCAAAUGCUUUAACUUCUCCUUUGAGUGCAAAACAUCAUCGACGUUGUCUAUAGUCAAAGUAUCCCGACUAUACAAAAUGGUGUCCCGAAACGACGUAUAAAAGCCAGGCAGUGAACACAAUAGGAUCAAUGCCAAAUCUUCUUCAUUGUACUUAACCUCCAACGUCCCCAGAUCUGCAACUAUUUCUGAACACGACAAUAUGAUUUUUCAGUGAUCCUCAUUCCGCCAUGCGAUGGAAAUACAGUUUCUACUUUAGAUCCAGUUUGCUUGUGAGACUUUUAGUCUUGCAUAACUGCUCCAGUUUCAAUCACAGAGCAACCACUGUUUUCUCUUUUAAGACAUCUUGCAGAAUAUUAUUGGAUAAAUGAAAAUGGAUCUGCGAUAAAGCCUUCCAAUCCCUCUGUUGUUUCUCUUCGUUGUCCAAUCAGCUGGCAUCUUCUCAAAACCCAGCAGAGCGUCGUCCAAAUCCAGUUGUGCCAGAAUUGCCCUCAUCUUUACCUGCCACAAAGAAAUCCUUUUAUUGCGAUCUAGCAGCGAAAUGUCACACUUCAUGGUGGUCAUCUCUGGAAAACCUCAACCAAUUCAUAGAAGAAGAACAAAGUUUGAUACCACUUGUUGGACCUGGAGAGAUUGUAAUGAAUGAUAUUAAUGACAUAAUAUAAAAUAAUAAAGAUCACAAUGAGAAAUAAGAUUAAAAGUAAAGAAGAACAAAGAGAGUUAAUCGCAAAGGAACGAUAUAUAUUAACUAACAAUAUGGAGAAAAAUUACAGACACAACAAUAAUGCUUAAACAAAACUAACAGAGGAGUCUUGUAUUUAUAGGCCACAUUUCAAACUCUAGAAGAGUCCUAAAAGGUAAGAAAAUCUAUUAAAAUUAUGUUACAAUUGCGCAUAGAACUUCGUUAGAGAGAGGAUUUUCUUUCCUUAUUCAACUUGACUAUAGGAUUCCUUUCCAAGUAAAAAUCAUAUAUGCAAUCUCACAAGACUCCUAACCGUAUUUGAGUCACAAAACCUUAAACAUUCCAAACUUCUCACUUCCACCCAUGUCGUUCUUCAAAAGUAAUGAGCCAUCCAUUUUUGUGAGAGUCUAGCGAAGGAAAUAGGUAUGAGGUAAAAAGCACUUGAGGAGUCUAAAAUAUACCUUUUUCUUUGAGACUUGGGAUGAAAAUUACCUCCAAGAUUAGUUUGAUAGGAGGAAUAUUUGAUUCUUGGCCAGAAAUAAUGACUACGCUAAAUCACGAGAGUGAGAUUUUUUUGGUAGAUCAAAUUCAACUGAAAAUGAUUCAUUCCCUUGCACAUCAAUACGGAGGAGUUAGCAACAAUGGACCUUGACUACAAGAAGAAGCUCAACUUCAAAAUUUUCAAUUUUUUGAAGUUAAUGCUUUGCUAUUUCUCUUAUAUUUAUAUUAUAUGUAGUCAAGGCUUCCACCCAAUGGCAAAUAAAGCUUAUUUGUCGCCACUUUCAAACUUAGCCUAGCUUAUUUGGCUCUGGGUUUGUUGCGUUCCUGUUUAAUGCCCUUAGACUUACGUUCAGAAAUAUAUAAAAUAUGGUCUUGUCAUUUCCUUUCCAACUAGUAGUUAGUAGUUUUGUCGUUAAUCUCUCUUCCCGACCGACUGUGACUUGUAUGUCCAGACAACCACUAUCGAUGCCUCUUCUAAGUUCUUACACCGUAUUUGCAUAAUAGACAGGAAGUGUUAUUGGUAAUAGUAUAUUUUCUUGGGUUAUAAUAAAAGAUUUUGUUCAGAGAGAGAGAGUGGCCCUCUAGUCUGGUGAUUUAAGUGGUCUAUAUGCUGAACUAUCGACCCUACUUGUUUGGAUGGGUGUUCAUGUCUUCUAACGCGGCGAUGAGGACGAAUGGUUGGUCACCCAAUGAGCCUCACUCUCUUUGAGAGCCUGCUUUUUUGUCCUUAACCUUCAAAUGUUGUCGCAAACGUUCCUAACCUUCUAUUUAAUGGGUGAAAUUAGUCAUUUUGGAUGAUUUUCAUCCAAUUAACCGUUAAAAAUGUCAAUUUUUUUUUAUAAAAGACUAAAUGCCUU
rnacentral:lncRNA from 1 species